rnacentral:rRNA from 1 species
CUACGGGAGGCAGCAGUAAGGAAUAUUGGGCAAUGGGCGCAAGCCUGACCCAGCCAUGCCGCGUGAAGGAUGACGGCCCUACGGGUUGUAAACUUCUUUUGUACGGGAAAAAUUCCCUGGUUUCGUACCGGGGUUGAUGGUACCGUAAGAAUAAGCAUCGGCUAACUCCGUGCCAGCAGCCGCGGUAAUACGGAGGAUGCAAGCGUUAUCCGGAUUCAUUGGGUUUAAAGGGUGCGCAGGCGGAACGAUAAGUCAGUGGUGAAAUCCUACGGCUCAACUGUAGAACUGCCAUUGAUACUGCCGUUCUUGAGUACACUUGAAGUGGGCGGAAUGUGUCAUGUAGCGGUGAAAUGCUUAGAUAUGACACAGAACACCGAUCGCGAAGGCAGCUCACUAAGUUGUAACUGACGCUCAGGCACGAAAGCGUGGGGAUCAAACAGGAUUAGAUACCCUGGUAGA